GUGGAUACAGCAGUGUUACAGAUUUCAGAAGAGCAAAGAUGAGGACUCCUACUUCAUCCUUAAUAGUUUAACUGGAUUGGAAAUCAAAAAAAUCCUGAUUCUUCUUCCACAGAAGUUUCAUUUGUCAGUGUGGAUCUGCUGAGUCACCUGAAGAACUCAUUUCAUUCUCCACGAUGUUGAUUUACAGAAAUGUUUCACAGGAACUGAUUCCCCCCAAAGGGUGAACUAGUGUGUUUCCAUAGAUUAUCUCUGUAUGAAUGUACUUCUUAAAUGAAGGCAAGUGUUUGUCCUUUUUUGUUCCUCAGGUACAGUACGUGAUAUUAAGGGCAGGCGGUCAUCACUGGGGGAAGACAAGAAGCAGACAUACUUCCAAGAGGGAGCUGCAGUGAGGACACAGCCUGGUCACUGAGGUCAGAGGAGGCGCUGAAAGGUUUCCCUAAUAGUUCC